rnacentral:rRNA from 1 species
GACAGAGGGUGCAAACGUUGUUCGGAAUUACUGGGCGUAAAGCGCGUGUAGGUGGCAAGGCAAGUCGGGUGUGAAAGCCCUGGGCUCAACCCAGGAAGUGCACUCGAUACUGCCUCGCUAGAGUCCCGGAGAGGUUGGUGGAACUCUCGGUGUAGAGGUGAAAUUCGUAGAUAUCGAGAAGAACACCGGUGGCGAAGGCGGCCAACUGGACGGUGACUGACACUGAGACGCGAAAGCGUGGGGGAGA